GGUAAAACUUGCCAUCCUGGAAACCAGAGAUUUAAAGGAGUUUUAGAUCCUUGGUCUGUCUUUCACUUAUACAUCCACGAGCUAGUUAUGGCGGAGAUACUGAGAUAGUUAGUACUCACUGAGCUAUUUAAUACUAAAAAUAUUUAACCCUACCUUCUUUUAUGCUGGAAUGAUACAUGAUGACACUAACAAGGGAUGGUACACAUCGCAAGAAUCUGACUUUACAUCAGAAAUUAUUAUUUUCAAAUAAAUCUUAUGAGAGCUUUUCUUUGCACAUUAUCCACAAAUAUGAGUUGCUCAGCAAUUUUAUCUCUAUAUCUAGGAGAUACAUCCUGGAUUCAACUGUAGUUAUAUCUUAUUGUAGUGGAUAUUUUAAAAAAUAGCAAUGAAAUUAGGCAUUUUUUAUUAGUUAACUUAUGUCUGUUGUAAAAAUAUUUAUACAUCAUACAUAACUUACAGAUAAAGUUUACAGAUAAAAUAAAAGGCACAUUGAAAACAAUGCCAUUUGCUCUAUUAGAUCAAUCAGUACAGGAGAACAUCAGAAUUGUAGCAAAAUAAGCAUCCUGAAACAUAUUUUAAUUCAGAAAAACACAUAACCAAGUUUAAUCUGAAGUAUCUGCGUUAGUACGUUGUCAGAUCAAAACUUGCUAAAUCUGCCUGCCUCAUACAAGGGGUUGAACUGAGGACACUUUUCCUCCCCUGGGACCAGACUAUGAACUGGAAAGAAAAAUUAACUGCACAAAUUAAAGCGGUGUUAAUAACUUCAUAGGAGAGCUUUUUUAAUGAAAGGAGAGCAUGGAUAUUCACUUCUGCUUUUGGAGACUGUUUUUGUUAUCUGACGUAACUAUCUCGUUUGCCUUGUGGUGGCCUGUAAAUGGAUCAUGCCAAAAAUAGGGAUUGCAGGCAUAAUGAAAUGGGAAAGAAUUUAGAAAGUGAAUUCAAACAGAAGAAUCUAUGGGAGAAGUUCAGAUUUGUGAGUCUCUCGGUCUUGCCUUUCCUAAGCUUUUUCUCUGAAACACUCAUGAAACGAGAAAUCCUUUGAGAAGCUCACCUCACAGCUACCACCUCACAAGAACAGUGAGCUGUGAGUACCACUCGGUUUAUUCUAAACUGCUGAAGAUAAGAGUUAAAUUUUGAAAAGCAGUCUAAAUUCCCUGCAUGAACUCAGGUCUUGAUGCUUUCCUGUAUCAUGCCUACCUGCGUGGGUACACAAUGAUUUCAGUAGCCCUGAUACUGCACAAUACAGUGCAGUAUUCAUAACUCAGUGGUGCUCACUGAUGUCCACGUAUGUUUGCUGCAUGUAUAAUUUUAUUGCCACCACUAAUGUUUGGCAAACAAUACCUCAUCUUAAGCAUCGAAUAAAUUGCAAAUGCAAGAACUUGCUCCAGCUGCUGUAGAAGUUAGCUCAGACAUCGAUAUGUCUAAGCUCAGACACAGAUGCUGCUGGACCAGAACAGAG
ensembl:lncRNA